rnacentral:lncRNA from 1 species
AAUCUCUCUAACUUCAAAUUCCCUGAUUCUUUAGUAUUUGUAGCACUUAACUUUGAAGUUUUUCUUUCUUUGCUCUUUCUGCUUCUGAGUCCCUUUGGAUUUUCUUAGGUCAUAUUAUUUGCCUGAGAGAUUUCAUCCAUAUUCAUGACUCCAGUCACCACUUCUGUAGAUGAUGAAUCUGACAUCACGUGUCCAGUCCACUGAUUCCAAGGUUACAUAUCCAAAGCAAACUCCCAAGGGAAUUUAUCAACAGCCUUCGACUGUACAGGACAUUCUAUGGGGGCCUGGCUGAUCAGCUUUGUGUGAAUGAAUUGGCCGCUGCUGAUGGACUGCCCUGCUGGAAUGGAGAAGAUAUAGUAAAAAGGUACCGCUUCAGUCUAGGAGGCAGCUAUAGUGGGAGGUGCUACAUGUGAACAGCUUCAGGUCCAUGUGCCAACCUUGUAUUCUCCUUGUCUUCC